UGCUAUUUGAAAAGGGAGUUUUGCUAUUUGAAAAGGGAGUUUUGCUAUUUGAAAAGGGAGUUUUGCUAUUUGAAAAGGGUGUUUUGCUAUUUGAAAAGGGUGUUUUGCUAUUUAAAAACGGAGUUUUGCUAUUUCAAACAACCGACUCCAACGUUUCUUAGUGCCAUCAGUGCAAUCAUGUUUCAUGCCAAGACAUCUCAGACACAUGAUAUAUACCAAAAAAAU